rnacentral:rRNA from 1 species
AGAGUUUGAUCAUGGCUCAGGAUGAACGCUAGCGGCAGGCUUAAUACAUGCAAGUCGUGGGGCAGCACAGGUAGCAAUACUGGGUGGCGACCGGCAAACGGGUGCGGAACACGUACGCAACCUUCCUUUAAGUGGGGAAUAGCCCAGGGAAACUUGGAUUAAUACCCCGUAACACUAUGAAGUGGCAUCAUUUUAUAGUUAAAGCUACGGCGCUUAAAGAUGGGCGUGCGGCUGAUUAGGUAGUUGGCGGAGUAACAGCCCACCAAGCCAACGAUCAGUAACUGGUGUGAGAGCACGACCAGUCACACGGGCACUGAGACACGGGCCCGACUCCUACGGGAGGCAGCAGUAAGGAAUAUUGGUCAAUGGACGCAAGUCUGAACCAGCCAUGCCGCGUGGAGGAUGAAGGCCCUCUGGGUUGUAAACUUCUUUUAUUUGGGAAGAAACCUAUCCUUUCUAGGGUAGUUGACGGUACCAGAUGAAUAAGCACCGGCUAACUCCGUGCCAGCAGCCGCGGUAAUACGGAGGGUGCAAGCGUUAUCCGGAUUCACUGGGUUUAAAGGGUGCGUAGGUGGGCAGGUAAGUCAGUGGUGAAAUCUCUGAGCUUGACUCAGAAACUGCCGUUGAUACUAUCUGUCUUGAAUAUCGUGGAGGUGAGCGGAAUAUGUCAUGUAGCGGUGAAAUGCUUAGAUAUGACAUAGAACACCAAUUGCGAAGGCAGCUCGCUACACGGUUAUUGACACUGAGGCACGAAAGCGUGGGGAUCAAACAGGAUUAGAUACCCCAGUAGUCC